GUGCUUGCUUCGGCAGCACAUACACUAAAAUUGGAGUGAUACAGAGAAGAUUAGCAUGGCCCCUGCGUGAGGAUGACAUGCAAAUUCAUGAAGCGUUCCAUAUUUUU
ensembl:snRNA U6 U6 spliceosomal RNA